UAGGGAAUAUUGCACAAUGGGCGAAAGCCUGAUGCAGCAACGCCGCGUGCGCGAUGAAGGCCUUCGGGUCGUAAAGCGCUUUUCGGGGAGAUGAGGAAGGACAGUAUCCCCGGAAUAAGGCUCGGCUAACUACGUGCCAGCAGCCGCGGUAAAACGUAGGAGCCUAGCGUUAUCCGAAUUUACUGGGCGUAAAGCGCGUGCAGGCGGUUCGGUAAGUUGGGUGUGAAAUCUCCUGGCUCAACUAGGAGAGGUCGCUCAAUACUGUCGAACUAGAGGAUGGUAGAGGGAGGUGGAAUUCCCGGUGUAGUGGUGAGAUGCGUAGAUAUCGGGAGGAAUACCAGUGGCGAAGGCGGCCUCCUGGGCCAUACCUGACGCUCAGACGCGAAAGCUAGGGGAGCAAACGGGAUUAGAAACCCCGGUAGUCCUAGCAGUAAACGAUGUGGACUUGGCGUUGGUGGGGUAAAAUCCAUCAGUGCCGGAGCUAACGCGGUAAGUCCACCGCCUGGGGACUACGGCCGCAAGGUUA
rnacentral:rRNA from 1 species